ACCUAACAAAUUUGACUAAGUCGCUUUGGAUAAAAGUGUCUGCUAAAUGGCAUAUA
rfam:Salmo salar isolate Sally breed double haploid chromosome ssa01, whole genome shotgun sequence.